rnacentral:rRNA from 1 species
ACAGAGGUGGCAAGCGUUGUUCGGAAUUACUGGGCGUAAAGGGCGCGUAGGCGGCCAUCUAAGUCAGACGUGAAAUCCCCCGGCUUAACCUGGGAACUGCGUCUGAUACUGGAAGGCUCGAGUUUGGGAGAGGGAUGUAGAAUUCCAGGUGUAGCGGUGAAAUGCGUAGAUAUCUGGAGGAAUACCGGUGGCGAAGGCGGCAUCCUGGACCGACAUUGACGCUGAACGGCGAAAGCUAGGGGAGCAAACGGGA